rnacentral:rRNA from 1 species
UACGUAGGUGGCAAGCGUUGUCCGGAUUUACUGGGCGUAAAGGGUGCGUAGGCGGCUUGGUAAGUUGGGUGUGAAAGCCCCGGGCUCAGCCCGGGAAGGGCACUCGAAACUGCCGAGCUGGAGUGCCGGAGGGGAGAGUGGAAUUCCUGGUGUAGCGGUGAAAUGCGUAGAUAUCAGGAGGAAUACCGGUGGCGAAAGCGACUCUCUGGACGGCAACUGACGCUGAGGCACGAAAGCGUGGGGAGCAAACAGG